rnacentral:lncRNA from 1 species
GAUAUUAUUUGCAGAUUUUAGGAAAGGAAACCUGACAGAGUUCCAGGGAAGUGGAGUGAGUUCCCUAUUUACAUUUAAAUUGUACUCCCUUCCUUCUUGAAAAGAAGGCAUAUCAGUUUUGGUCAAAGUCAAACAAUGUAUUGGUUUGCUCUUUUGCUACAUGUUCUUAAAUUAUUGCAUGAUGCAUCUCUAGGCGGUGAGACCAGAAGCUGGGUGAUCAAAGCAACUACAUGAUGCAUCUCUGUCUAUGUAGCUGUUUACCAUAAGCUGGGUGAUCAAAGCAAUCUACAUGAUGCAUCUCUGUCUAUGUAGUUGUUUACCAUAAGCUGGGUGAUCAAAGCAAUCUACAUGAUGCAUCUCUGUCUAUGUAGCUGUUUACCAUAAGCUGGGUGAUCAAAGCAAUCUACAUGAUGCAUCUCUGUCUAUGUAGCUGUUUACCAUAAGCUGGGUGAUCAAAACAAUCUACAUGAUGCAUCUCUAUCUAUGUAGCUUUACUUAGCAUAAACUGAUCUUAAUGACUUUGUUUAAACCUAUGAGCCUACCAUCUAUGUAGCUUCAUACCAUCUAUAUAAUGUGUCCCUUCCUAUCUACUUCCCUUGUGUAUCACAUUGUAACGAAGCAUUUAUUUACCAGCAGUAAAGACUUGGGUGUUUGAAUAUUCCCACAAUUCUUGGCUCCCUCUCGGCCUUUGCGCCAUUGGCGCAACGAGUCAUCUAGUUGCUAUUAAGGGUAACAAGAUGGGGUUUAUUCAUACGUGAGUUUAUCUUGCCUACAUCAUGUCAUCUUGCCUAAUGCAUUACUUUGUUUUUCUAUGAACUUAAUACACUCAAUGCAUGCUAGAUAGCGGUCGAGUAAUAGUAGUAGAUGUAGAAUCGUUUCAGUCUACUAAUCUUGGACAUGAUGCCUAUAUACAUGAUCAUGGCCUUGGAUAUCGUCAUAAUUAUUUAUUUUUCUAUCAAUUGCCCAACAGUAAUUCAUUUACCCAUCGUAUGCUAUUUUCUCGAGAGAAGCCUCUAGCG